CGUGGCCGCGGCAGCAGAUGAGCGAGAGAUAGCUGGUGCUUAGCGCUUCCGGCGUGGGCGGACGGCGGGGAGGACGGUGGCGGCAGACGGGCAGGAGGAGAAGACGAUCCCAUCCAGGGGGGUUCUUGAAAGAUUAUAGGGUGCUAUUUGUAAAUAUUUGGAUCGUGAUCAAUAAUCGCGAUCCAAAGUAGGGUUCUAUUUGAAAAAGUUUGGAUCGCGAUUAUUAGUCCGCGAUCCAGUUAGGGGUGUUUCUGCAAAUUACUCGGCCGGCCCAUCCGCAAGCCGGCGAUGCCGCCUCCGCCACCGCCUACCUUCGCUUGGCCCCGGCGUGCCGUGGACAAGCUGUGUUGCCGGCGGUCCCCUCCCGCGCGCCACCGCUGCACGCCCCCGUCCCCUGCUGCGGCAGAGUUCCUCCACCCGGCGGCGCCGUCAAGCCACACCGGCAGUGGUGCCAUCGCCGGUGAAGUUUGGUGUUCGACCAAGCGGCGGCGCAGGGCUUCUUGGACCAUACAAGCCACCGUCGUCGCCGGUGGUGUCAUCGUCCCCAGGGAGGAACGAUAGAGAUGGACAGUUGGACCCAGCAAGUCUUGGUUCUGCUCAAGCUGGAGGGGCCUCUAGAUUGGUUGCCAAUGGCUUCUGUUUGGGAAUUUCGGGGAUAUGGGUGCAAAUCUAGCUGUUGUAACCCUGCCUUUACAUUAGCUCCCUGGCUCCACCAUCUUGAUCGAAUCUUUAUGCGCCUGUCUUGAUUUUUUCUUAGUUGCAAUUAUCUCAUGAAACAGCUCGGGGUAACUAUGUCCAUUUUUCACCUGAAAAUGUCCAUUUUUCUGAACAUUUUUUCACAGCAGUUCAUUUCCAUGAGAAGAAGCUGCUCUGCUCAGAUGCCUGCAGUUUACUCAUGUGGUACAGCAUAAACCAACCUAAAUUUUACCAUGAAUAGAUAUAACAGCAAAAAAGUCUAAGCCAACCUAAUUUGCAUUCUUUAUAUUUAACGUGUAUCAAUUAGUACAGGUUGUAUAUGAGAAAGAAUUGCCUGAGCCAUGGAUCAAUGGCA